rnacentral:lncRNA from 1 species
CGCAGGCGUGCCAGCACCGCGGGGUGCAGUCGUUGGGGUAGUCCCUUGACCUGACUUCUUCUUCAAGCGCUGUGGACGAGGAGAGCACCAACCUCGUCACAGGGUUCUUUUCUUGCCUUUUGGGAAAUGACUUUUGCCUUACGGAUAAGGACUUUGGUUGUGAUCUCUUUGGUCACCAAAAUCGAUACUCAACGUUGUAGGUUGAGCAGAGCAAUCACUGGGAAGUUCUGAGAAAGCACGGGUUUUGCUAAAGCGUGACUUUAGCUUCGCUGGGUGCGAGGGCGUUACCCUUGCUUCACUGGGUGUAUCGGUGGCAGUAGUACUGGCAGUCGGCUCGCGAGGAGACUAGGACUGGAAGUACGAUCGCCAGGUUGAUCUGGUGAGGCUGACAGUCGGCUCGCGAGGAGACUAGGACUGGCGGGCGG